UACGUAGGCAGCGAGCGUUGUUUGGAGUUACUGGGCGUAAAGGGUGUGUAGGCGGUUGUUUAAGUUUGGUGUGAAAUCUCCCGGCUCAACUGGGAGGGUGCGCCGAAUACUGAAUGACUUCGAGUGCGGGAGAGGAGAGUGGAAUUCCUGGUGUAGCGGUGAAAUGCGUAGAUAUCGGGAGGAACACCUGUGGCGAAAGCGGCUCACUGGACCACAACUGACGCUGAGGCGCGAAAGCUAGGGGAGCAAACAGGG
rnacentral:rRNA from 1 species